rnacentral:lncRNA from 1 species
CUCUCUCUCUCUCCUGCUGCAUUGUGAAGAAACUGCUUGCUUCCCUCUCACCCUCUGCAGUUUCCUGAGGCCUCCCCAGCCAUGCGGAACGGCCAGAUGCAGUGCCUCAUGCCUGUAAUCCCAGCACUUUGGGAGGCUGAGGGAGGAUUGCUUGAGCCUGCUUCCAUAUCGUAAACUGCCUUGGAACCAAUUACCACUACCAGGGAGACAAACUAUUGCUUAGAGGAUGCUGACAGGAGCAGCAUGCCAAAAUUGGAAGAACUGUAGACCAAGACCUGGAAUUAACACAUCAGAAGAUUCUAUGAGGAAACCCAUUUAAAAAUAGGAUGCAUUUUUUUCUUUUCUGCACAGGGAGAAAGUUUAAGCUCUCCUCACUAUGAGUUUUCAAGUAUAAAAGACUUUUUCUUCCACGAUUUUGAGAACAACUGAGGACUCUUGUGACCAGGACAACAGGGAAGCUUGCAGCAAGAUAGCUCCAGGUUGGAUUCAUGCUUCGCACCCCAAGGGCUGCCAGCCAGAGAGGAGGAGAAGCAAUCACUCCUGCAGUUUCUGAACACUACACAGACGCCAGGUAGCUUCUUCAGGAGAACAGCCCUCUGAGGAGGCAGGAAGAGGAGGCUUAUCUUUCAGCAGCCGGAGCUGCUGAGAUCUCUGGGCAGAUUAAGCUCUCUCUAAUGGAUGGGCUCCAGCCUGGCACAUUCAGUGGAGAGGGAUCCACUCAUCCAUCAUCAACAUAAUAUGGUCCUCCCUGCACUUCACAGUGUCCUCUUGCUAUUGAAAAGGCUUUUUUGCCUUCUCAAGUUUCUUUGUCAACAGUCUACAGGAAGAAGCUCAGGCCGCCACCGGCAGAGGUGAAUGCAAGCUCACGUUUUAUUUCUGACUGCUUAAUCAUUGCCUCGAUCACUGCUCAAGCUCUGCCUUUGUUUCCAAAGGUUACCUGUGGGAAAACUUCUUUUUCUAUGCUGAAAUUAAUAGGGAGGCAAAGAUGAGUCCACUGAUAAGCAGAGCCUUAAAACUCACAUAGAGAAACAACUUUGCUGGAGUGUGUGUGAGUGAACCACUAAGGAAUCAGAUAGUGUGAUGGCAGUUAUCAUUGCAGGUUAAGACAUUUCUACAAAUAUUUCGACAUCUCCAUAUACUCACUCCUUUCCCCCCUGAGUGGAGAGACUCAGCUACCAAGAGAGGAAGCUCAAAAAAAACAGAAGCUUCAAACAAACAACCAACCAAAAAAAAAAAAAAACUGUGGGUUCAUCAGAGGUGGUAGGGAAGACAAAAACAUGGGAGGAGCAGCUGGGCACGGUGGCUCAAGCCUGUAAUCCCAGCACUUUGCGAGGCUGAGGUGGGUGGAUCACCUGAGGUCAGGAGUUCGAGACCAGCCUGGCCAACAUGGUGAAACCCCAUCUCUACUAAAAAUACAAAAAAUUAGCCGGGCGUUGUGGUACGCACCUGUAAUCCCAGCUACUCCGGAGGCUGAGGCAGCAGAAUCGCUUGAACCCAGGAGGCAGAGGUUGCAACGAGCCAAGAUCGCACCAUUGCACUCCAGCCUGGGCAACAAGAGCGAAACUCCAUCUAAAAAAAACAAACAAGCAAACAAACAAAAAACACGGGAGGAGCAAUAAAAAGGAAUCCAUGCUUUGAUUUUUUUUUUUAGUGAGAGGAAGGGAAGGCUGCUGCCUCUCACUUCUCCCUGUUUUGUUGUUCUUUUAAGUAGCAUGUGUCACUCUGUAU